CGUAUCACCCAAGACAACUUUACGGAGUUGACGAUUGACGGAGCGAAGCGACGUCAAAGCGUUCAUUAAAGUCGAGUUGGCUUAGGGAUACGUUCGUUGGGUAGGGGAGCGUUCUGUAAGCCUGUGAAGGUGUGUCGUGAGGCAUGCUGGAGGUAUCAGAAGUGCGAAUGCUGACAUAAGUAACGAUAAAGCGGGUGAAAAGCCCGCUCGCCGGAAGACCAAGGGUUCCUGUCCAACGUUAAUCGGGGCAGGGUGAGUCGACCCCUAAGGCGAGGCCGAAAGGCGUAGUCGAUGGGAAACGGGUUAAUAUUCCCGUACUUGGUGUUACUGCGAAGGGGGGACGGAGAAGGCUAUGUUGGCCGGGCGACGGUUGUCCCGGUUUAAGCGUGUAGGUGUGUGUUCCAGGUAAAUCCGGUUCACUUUAACACUGAGGCGUGACGACGAGGCACUACGGUGCUGAAGCAACAAAUGCCCUGCUUCCAGGAAAAGCCUCUAAGCAUCAGGUAACA
rnacentral:rRNA from 1 species